UUCGAAUGUAUUGUCUUUUGUAUCUAAUGUCACAAACCUCUCCCCUCCAACGCUCAUCAGCACAGCUCCCUUCUUGGUAAAAGACAGCGGCAUGUACCGAAACGAAUCGAGGAACGGGUCUUUGGUCGGAAUCCUCGGAAACUUCGCAGUGGUGAUGAUCUUACUCCAGUUCUUGUCAUCUUUUGUUCCCCAAACAUGAACAUCACUCAACCUCCGAGUGUGCACGACACAAAGGUGGUCUUUCAAAGAUCCAAUCCACGCUAUACUCCGACCACUCUCAUCUGGCGGUGGCGGCACCACCUUAAACUUCUCGUCGGCCAAAUCGAAUCGCAGGAUCAGACACCUCCCCGAAUCGUGGUCCUCUGCCAUCCAAUACAAUCCGCC
rnacentral:lncRNA from 1 species